rnacentral:rRNA from 1 species
GAUGAACGCUGGCGGCGUGCCUAAUACAUGCAAGUAGAACGCUGAAGCUUGGUGCUUGCACCGAGCGGAUGAGUUGCGAACGGGUGAGUAACGCGUAGGUAACCUGCCUGGUAGCGGGGGAUAACUAUUGGAAACGAUAGCUAAUACCGCAUAACAGUAGAUAUUGCAUGAUAUCUGCUUGAAAGGGGCAAUUGCUCCACUACCAGAUGGACCUGCGUUGUAUUAGCUAGUUGGUGAGGUAACGGCUCACCAAGGCGACGAUACAUAGCCGACCUGAGAGGGUGAUCGGCCACACUGGGACUGAGACACGGCCCAGACUCCUACGGGAGGCAGCAGUAGGGAAUCUUCGGCAAUGGACGGAAGUCUGACCGAGCAACGCCGCGUGAGUGAAGAAGGUUUUCGGAUCGUAAAGCUCUGUUGUAAGAGAAGAACGAGUGUGAGAGUGGAAAGUUCACACUGUGACGGUAACUACCAGA